GUAAACUUUGUUAACGUGUUUGUUAUGUUUAGUUCUUUUGAAGUUUGAGUGGGAGAGGAAAUCUAAGGAGAGAUGUUAAGCAGUUUAAAGUUUCAUUUUGGGAAUUAGCUGUUAUUAACUCUGAGAAAUAUGGGUCGUGAACGUUGGAGUUCAGAAGUUGAAUUUAUUCUAGCUAUGAUUGGAUGGAAUGCUCUAGGACCACAUGGAGUUGUACAUACUUACAUGAUGCUGGAAAAUGGUGGAACAAGAAAUACAAACCACAUUAUGUGGUCACCAUACAGCCGUGGUGCUUCUGAAGAGUUAACUGAUUUUCAAGCUACUGAACUUUGAUUUGGUUAUUUGUUAACUUUGUGUCAAGUGA